AAUGGAGACACACAUUGACUUUGAGAGACUAUUAGAAGAAUUAGGAUCAGAAGCAACCAAUCUUCCUGAUAUAUCACAAGGUAUACAGUCACGUGACACUACUCACUGAUCACGUGAUCACAGGUUGGUCUGAUGGUUUGAGACGAGCAAUAGAUCAUCAAGCAAUGAGUCUGUCUCAGUCUCCAGAGACGUUUGGUACAUGGCUACUGAUUAAUAAACUAAAGGAAACAAA